rnacentral:rRNA from 1 species
UACGUAGGGGGCAAGCGUUGUCCGGAAUCAUUGGGCGUAAAGAGCGUGUAGGCGGCCCGGUAAGUCCGCUGUGAAAGUCCAGGGCUCAACCCUGGGAUGCCGGCCGAUACUGUCAGGCUAGAGUCCGGAAGAGGCGAGUGGAAUUCCUGGUGUAGCGGUGAAAUGCGCAGAUAUCAGGAGGAACACCUAUGGCGAAGGCAGCUCGCUGGGACGGUACUGACGCUGAGACGCGAAAGCGUGGGGAGCGAACAGG